GUCGAGCAGGGAACUUCGGUUCCCAGCGGCGGACGGGUGAGUAACACGUGGGUAACCUGCCUUGUAGAGGGGGAUAGCCUUCCGAAAGGAAGAUUAAUACCGCAUAACAUUGUUUUUUCGCAUGAAGAGACAAUCAAAGGAGCAAUCCGCUACAAGAUGGACCCGCGGCGCAUUAGCUAGUUGGUGAGGUAACGGCUCACCAAGGCGACGAUGCGUAGCCGGCCUGAGAGGGUGAACGGCCACAUUGGAACUGAGACACGGUCCAGACUCCUACGGGAGGCAGCAGUGGGGAAUAUUGCACAAUGGGCGAAAGCCUGAUGCAGCAACGCCGCGUGAGUGAUGAAGGCCUUCGGGUUGUAAAGCUCUGUCUUCUGGGACGAUAAUGACGGUACCAGAGGAGGAAGCCACGGCUAACUACGUGCCAGCAGCCGCGGUAAUACGUAGGUGGCAAGCGUUGUCCGGAUUUACUGGGCGUAAAGGAUGCGUAGGCGGAUAUUUAAGUCAGAUGUGAAAUUCCCGAGCUUAACUUGGGAGCUGCAUUUGAAACUGGGUAUCUAGAGUGCGGGAGAGGAGAGUGGAAUUCCUAGUGUAGCGGUGAAAUGCGUAGAGAUUAGGAAGAACACCAGUGGCGAAGGCGACUCUCUGG
rnacentral:rRNA from 1 species